ensembl:lncRNA
CUCAGAGCUGGAUGGUCUGUGAGAGCAGCAGCAUGGCCGCCUUCGUCUCACUGGUAACAUGUCAGCACUGCCCCGUCACCUCCACCCGCCGCGGCCUCAUCUACAGAGACUCUCUCUCCGCUCUGUCUAGGAACCUCAGGGCCCCCGGGGGCCCCCGUCAGCCCCCGGGCCCCCGGCCGCAGGGCUUCGGCCUCCAAGGCGGACGCCGCUGCAGGCUCAACAGACCUGAGCUCCCAGAAUCCACUGCUCUGGCUCGCUCCAAGCAGUCUGGCAGCAUGAAGCACCUGGUCCUGGCUCACCUGAGGAGGAUGCUGACUCCGAGCCCCGCCCAGCAGCAGAGAGGCCUCCGCCUGCCAGGCUGACCUCUGACCCGCUGCUGGGACGCAGGAGGUGGUCCGGAGUCGCAGUGAGAGCUGCUGGACACCAGAGGGCGACAGAGGUUCAGACUGGGUCUGAGGUGGAGGAGAACUGGUGUGGUUGCCUUUCCCUUUUCCCUCACCUCCACCCAGCACCUGUGGGAGGAGGCCGGACUUACCGAACAUCCUCAUCCUCCGCAGGGAGGAAGAGCGCAGCAGCUGUCCACAAAGUUCUGAGCAGAAGCUCCUCAGCGUGGUGGGUCUGAGCCCCACGGCACUGUGGGUAAUGACUGCAGCUGCUCAAGACACAAUUUUCCUGCUGCAAAUGAACAAAAUGUUAAUUAUUUGUGUUUCAGAGAUUCAGCCGUCGCUGUGAUGGCUCAGAUCUGUGUGUGUCAAACUGUAUUUAUUAAACAGACUUUAGACAUUCAUGUUAAACUUAAGUAAACGAGUUGGAUUCAACAGUGUUUCUGUUUCCUGGAGUUACUUUAGGUUCUGUGAUCAGUGUUAGAUGAUUAUAGUGUGUAGCUGCAGAUCGGAGCAGCUGACUGUCUCGUGUCCUGCAGCAGGAGAAUGAACCCACAGCAGCCAAACAGCUGAUUGUGUUCAGGCUUCAAAGCUUUAUGCUGAACUCCGUUAGGAUCUCUCAGAGUUCCCACAGCAGGAGGAAGACUGCUGCCUUCAUGAGCCGUCCUACAGAGUGGGAAAAAUGCCUAUUUUUACAGACACAUACGUGAACGGGGGUCAUGUUUAUAAGUGUACCCACCCUCAGGUGUUCAUACAGGGCACUGGCCCUUUAGCAUCAAAGACAGGUUUUUGUAACAGCUGUGGACGGCUCUGUAUUUCCUCACACCUCGCUUUCUUCCUGAGAACGACUCAAACUGAGGUCAGAAGACUGAG